rnacentral:rRNA from 1 species
UGCGUAGGCGGGGCAAUUAGUCAGUGGUGAAAUCCUGCGGCUUAACCGUAGAACUGCCAUUGAUACUGUUGCCCUUGAGUAUAGUCGAGGUGGGCGGAAUGUGUAAUGUAGCGGUGAAAUGCAUAGAGAUUACACAGAACACCAAUUGCGAAGGCAGCUCACUAAGCUAUAACUGACGCUGAGGCACGAAAGCGUGGGGAGCGAACAGGAUUAGAUACCCUGGUAGUCC